UUCUGCUUGCUUGAUUGUCAUCGUCUAUAUUUGUUUGUAAAAUUGUUUUGUAUUGUAGUAGUUCUGAGUUAUUUUCUGCUGUUCUGUCUGUCGUGACUGCUUAUCAGCUGAAUCAAUGAUUAUCUAAGAUGAACUAAAUAAACAAGUAAAGAAGUAUGUUGCGAAGAUUAUGGCUUGUGGCGUCUCAAAGAUCUUUCUUCAGGUCGGAAUUGAAUAUUGUUUCUUCAGAGCUGCUUAAAUCACACAAGAACAAAUCGACAACUGUUCAUCAUCGACUUUUUUCAUCUAUUACACCUGAUCGGGCAGCCUUAGGACAAAUAACGACGUUGAAGAAAAGCCUUUCAUUCACCUGUAACAACUGUGACACUCGCAAUCAUCGUAUCAUAUCAAAACAAGCCUAUGAUAAAGGAAUUGUCAUUGUUAGAUGUGACGGCUGUGACAGUUUACAUUUGAUAGCCGACAAUCUGGACUGGUUUCAAAACCCAAAUGGUCGAAAUGUUGAGGAAAUUCUAGCAGCUAAAGGAGAAAAGGUAAUAACAGAUGGUGAUGUGAUCGAGGUUGAUCUAAACAAAGAUGUUAACACCAAUAGGACGAAUGACAACUAAAGUGGUUUUGUGUGUGCCGACAUUUUUAUACUUCACCCGUUUUUAUUCGACUGCUUCCAAAGCUCUAACCGUCGGAUCAACUGCUUCGGUAGAGAAGACAAUUUCGCAGAAGGAUGUGACGCUUUUUAGUGAGCUAUCUGGUGAUUGGAAUCCAGUUCAUCAUCGCAAAGACAACCCGGUAGUUCAUGGUGCUUUGUUGAACGGAUUUGUGUCGGGGGUGAUUGGCUCUAAACUGCCUGGUCCCGGGACUUUGCUAGUCACCGAGACACUGAGGUUUCCAAACCCUUGUUAUGUUGGUGACACUGUGAUUGUGUCGGUAGAGUUGACUGAGAUUAGACGACUCAUCAGUUGUAAAUUUAAUGUUACAUCCAAGAAGUACAACAACGUGGUAAUGGAAGGGGAGGCUAAAUUGUUAGUGAAAGACAUAUGAGAAGUGAUGUAAAACAUACCUGAUGUUUUCAAAGAUAUACUCAAGAUAGCAUUUUAUACUGUAAGUAUAAGGCUGUAUUUGUUUUGUUCUAACAUAUAUUAUGCAUCUGCUAAAAAGAGUUGUCGGUAAAAAUAUA